AGUCUGGAGCCUUCAGGUUGUCCCCGGUGCGCAAGCAGCAGGACGAGGCCCAGGACUUUUCGGGUCUGUACGUUUGCUGAGAGUGGUGUUCUUGUGGCGGGGGCGGAAGGUGGACGUCUUAGGAAGCCUUGCGACCCAGUAGAGACCCCCACAGGGACUCCGCAGUGCCUGGGGAUGGCCUGGACCUCGCCCGGGAAAGGGUGAUAGUCCAGGUUGCUGAUGCCACCACCAUAAUUCAUCACCAGAGAUGGAGAAACUCUGUACCAUGAUGCCAGCUGGGCAAGGAAGAUCACUUUGCUGAGUGCUGGCAGGACUGAUUCAAUAGUUAUGCGGGCUCUGGGCUCCCGUGGCUGCCUUUAGCAUCUGGAUGCUGUAACUUGGAAGUUUGGGUGAGUUAACACCAGUGAGAGAAAGAA
rnacentral:lncRNA from 1 species